AGGAUGAACGCUAGCGGCAGGCCUAAUACAUGCAAGUCGAACGGUGGCAGCAAUGUCAUAGUGGCGCACGGGUGCGUAACACGUAACUAACCUACCUAUAACUGGGGGAUAGCCCGCCGAAAGGCGGAUUAAUACCGCAUAAGCUACUGAUUUGGCAUCAGGUUGGUAGUAAAGAUUUAUUGGUUAUAGAUGGGGUUGCGGGUCAUUAGCUAGUUGGUAGGGUAACGGCUUACCAAGGCGACGAUGACUA
rnacentral:rRNA from 1 species